rnacentral:rRNA from 1 species
GACGAACGCUGGCGGCGUGCUUAACACAUGCAAGUCGAACGCUGAAGCUUGGUGCUUGCACUGGGUGGAUGAGUGGCGAACGGGUGAGUAAUACGUGAGUAACCUGCCCUUGACUCUGGGAUAAGCCUGGGAAACUGGGUCUAAUACUGGAUACGACAUGCCACUGCAUGGUGGUGUGUGGAAAGGGUUUUACUGGUUUUGGAUGGGCUCACGGCCUAUCAGCUUGUUGGUGGGGUAAUGGCCUACCAAGGCGACGACGGGUAGCCGGCCUGAGAGGGUGGGCAGAGGCUGGGGGACGGGGACGGCGCCGAGGUGCGUGGGGGGGGGGCCAGGGGGAAAGAGGGAGGGGGGGGAGGGGGACGGAGGGAGCGAGGCGGAGGGAGGGCGGACGGGCCGGGGGGUGGAAGCCGCUAGCAGGAGGGAGGGAGCGGGAGUGACGGUGCGGGAAGAAGAGGCGCCGGCGAACUACGGGCCGGCAGCCGCGGUAAUAAUCGGAAGAGCCCACUUGCGACC